rnacentral:rRNA from 1 species
AGCGAACGCUAGCGGCGGGCUUAACACAUGCAAGUCGAGCGGAGGGUUUCGGCCCUCAGCGGCGAACGGGUGAGUAACACGUGGGUAACGUACCCUUUGGUGGGGAAUAACCUAGGGAAACCUGGGCUAAUACCGCAUAUGUCUUCGGGAUGAAAGUCUUCGGACGCCAGGGGAUCGGCCUGCGGCCCAUUAUUUAAUCCUAGUUGGUAGGGUAACGGCCUACCAAGGGUACGAUGGGUAGCUGGUCUGAGAGGAUGAUCAGCCACACUGGAACUGAGACACGGUCCAGACUCUACGGGAGGCAGCAGUGGGGAAUAUCGCGCAAUGGGCGAAAGCCUGACGCAGCCAGCCGCGUGUGCGAUGAAGGUCUUC